GUAGUCAUAUGCUUGUCUCAAAGAUUAAGCCAUGCAUGUCUAAGUACAAACUGAUCAGUCAGUGAAACCGCGAAUGGCUCAUUAAAUCAGUUAUGGUUCCUUGGAUGAACAAAUACACGGAUAACUGUGGUAAUUCUAGAGCUAAUACGUGCGAGCCGGCUUGCAGCAAUGUGAGCACGCAUUUAUUAGACCAAGACCAACGGUGGGGUCGCAAGACUCUGCCUUUGUCGUGGUGACUCUGAAUAACUGCUGGCAAUCGUAUGGCCUCCGAGCCGACGAUGUAUCCUUCAAGCGUCUGCCUUAUCAACUGUCGAUGGUAGGCUAAAUGCUUACCAUGGUUGCAACGGGUAACGGGGAAU
rnacentral:rRNA from 1 species